GAGGGUAUAGCUCAAGUGGUAGAGAACAUGCUUAGCAUGCAUUAGGUCCUGGAUUCAAUCCCCAGUACCUCUU
rfam:Camelus ferus unplaced genomic scaffold scaffold678, whole genome shotgun sequence.